CUAACACAGACAGAGCGUCUGAUCUUCAAUCAUGAUGGCUGGCUGUCCAUCGCACUCUGCAGAGAUGUGUCAAUCAAUCAAUAUUGAAGCAAUGCAGAGUGGCCAGCAAUCUAGCUCACAUCUAAAGAUCAAGUGAGCCAAGUCUCUGUUCGUCAAACUGAGCAGAGGAAAUGUCUCCAAGCUGUCGUUGUUGAAGCUCUGGAGACCGUCAAGCAAGCUGCUUUGACAACUCUGUCAACUUUCUGUGUACAGAUCAAAAUCCAGACAGAGAGUGUCGGAUCUCACACGGAGUCAGCGUCCAUCACUGGUAGAGUGUCACCGCCUUCAAAUUCCAGACAAUGAGUGUCGAACCGAUCAUCACCAGUCAAGCAUCCUUGUUGCAGAUCAAAAUCCAGACAGAGAGUGUCGGAUCUCACACGGAGUCAGCGUCCAUCACUGGUAGAGAUGCACCACCUUGUAGUAUACUUUGUAGUUAUUUGUAUAUUAUAGGGAUAUAGUUAGAAUUAAUUUUGUGGUACAUCGCUCACACUAUUUGUUGUGUGGUGAAUCGCUGACACUUUUUGUUGUGUGGUGAACGCUUACACUUUUUGUUGUGUGGUGAA